rnacentral:rRNA from 1 species
AAAGGAAUUGACGGGGACCCGCACAAGCGGUGGAUGAUGUGGUUUAAUUCGAUGCAACGCGAAAAACCUUACCCACCUUUGACAUGUACGGAAGUUACCAGAGAUGGUUUCGUGCUCGAAAGAGANCCGUAACACAGGUGCUGCAUGGCUGUCGUCAGCUCGUGUCGUGAGAUGUUGGGUUAAGUCCCGCAACGAGCGCAACCCUUGUCAUUAGUUGCUACGAAAGGGCACUCUAAUGAGACUGCCGGUGACAAACCGGAGGAAGGUGGGGAUGACGUCAAGUCCUCAUGGCCCUUAUAGGUGGGGCUACACACGUCAUACAAUGGCUGGUACAGAGGGUUGCCAACCCGCGAGGGGGAGCUAAUCCCAUAAAACCAGUCGUAGUCCGGAUCGCAGUCUGCAACUCGACUGCGUGAAGUCGGAAUCGCUAGUAAUCGCGGAUCAGAAUGUCGCGGUGAAUACGUUCCCGGGUCUUGUACACACCGCCCGUCACA